UUCUCUUUUCCAGGAGCUUGCGGCAAAGCACACAAUAAGGAAAAUGAAGUUUUCAAUUGUUGUUAUUGUAUCAGUCAUCCAAGCUGCAUUUGUUGCAUGUAACUAUGGUACGCAACAAUGUCCAGCAAGAGUCGACAGUGGUGGAAACUGUCGCAUUUUCGGCCUGACUAUUCCACCUGGUACGACUGUGACGUCUCGAAACCCCUGUGUUAAAGUGACGUGCCAGAAUAAUGGCGACAUGGUGGUAUCAGGGUGUGCUGCCACCGCUGGGAAUGCCCAACAUGCCCCCGGAGCGCCGAGCGGAGCGGGCGUCCAGCCAUAUCCAGCCUGCUGUACAAGCUGUGGCCCGAUUCGUCAAGCCCAUUAAAAAACCGUCCAUGUUACUUCAAAGCAGCUGCUGAAUGCUUCGCCAUAUCCUAUUUCAUUUUUGUGUGCAGUAGGCGAAACUAGAAGCCAUGAAUUCGUAUUCUUUGUAACUGGGAAGAGUUUCACGUAACUUUCUUCAUUUCAAUA